rnacentral:rRNA from 1 species
CCUACGGGGGACAGCAGUGGGGGAUAUUGCACAAUGGGGGGAACCCUGACGCAGCGACGCCGCGUGAGGGAUGAAGGUCUUCGGAUCGUAAACCUCUGUCAGCAGGGAAGAAAGGUCACUGUGCUAGUCAGCAGUGAAUUGAUGGUACCUGCAAAGGAAGCACCGGCUAACUCCGUGCCAGCAGCCGCGGUAAUACGGAGGGUGCGAGCGGUAAUCGGAAUUACUGGGCGUAAAGCGCUCGUAGGCGGUAUGUCAAGUCAAGGGUGAAAUCCCCGCGCUCAACGUGGGAACUGCCUUUGAAACUGGCAAACGUGAGUGUGUGAGAGGAUAGUGGAAUUCCAGGUGUAGGAGUGAAAUCCGUAGAUAUCUGGAGGAACAACAGUGGCGAAGGCGACUAUCUGGCACAUAACUGACGCUGAGGAGCGAAAGCGUGGGUAGCAAACAGGAUUAGAUACCCUUGUAGUC